rnacentral:rRNA from 1 species
AACAGCCGCGGUAAUUCCAGCUCCAAUAGCGUAUAUUAAAGUUGUUGCAGUUAAAAAGCUCGUAGUUGAAUUUCGGGGUCAGUAGUUUGGUCGUGCCAAUGGUAUGUACUGGGCUCACUGAUUCCUCCUUCCUGAUGAACUGUAAUGCCAUUAAUUUGGUGUUGCAGGGAAACUGGACUGUUACUUUGAAAAAAAUUAGAGUGUUUAAAGCAAGCUAACGCUUGAAUACAUUAGCAUGGAAUAAUGAAAUAGGACGUUCGAUCCUAUUUCGUUGGUUUCUAGGAUUGACGUAAUGAUUAAUAGGGAUAGUUGGGGGCAUUAGUAUUCAAUUGUCAGAGGUGAAAUUCUUGGAUUUAUUGAAGACUAACUACUGCGAAAGCAUUUGCCAAGGAUGUUUUCAUUAAUCAAGAACGAAAGUUAGGGGAUCGAAGACGAUCAGAUACCGUCGUAGUCUUAACCAUAAACUAUGCCGACUAGGGAUCGGAUGAUGUUAAUUUUUAAUGACUCAUUCGGCGCCUUA